UGAAUUCUCCUACACUAGUUGUUUGAACAAACUACUAUAAACUGCAUUCUCAAUUUGUAUCAGAUAUUAUGUCAAACAAGCAAGUUAACCAAAAUAGAAAUAAUGGAGUUGCCAUGUGCAUUUGAGUGGCCACGAAUAAUGUUACCAAAAGGUUGACUAUGAAGUACUGAGGAGGGGGGAAAAAAAGAGUGAAAAAAAGGAGUGCGAAAAAGAAAAAGGAAAGAGUGUGAGAGAGAGAGAGAGACAUUGGAAAAAAAAAAAUGAGUGAAAAAAAGAGUUAUAAGAAUAGUUGUAGAAAACUAACCAGUGUUGCUUAAAGUCUUGAUGUUAAAAGCUGACAAGCCAAAUAGUAUCGAAAUUUAGUAUGUCAUAUCUCGAAUGAGCUUUCAAGUGGAUACUGGUAUUGAGUUGUCCAUGAAAAGCAAGAAGUUUGAGGCAUUUCUUGAAUUCUCCUACACUACUGUUUGAACAAACUCCUAUAAGCUGCAUUCUCAAUUUGUAUCAGAUAUUAUGCCAAACAAGCAAGUUAACCAAAAUAGAAAUAAUGGAGUUUCCAUGUGCAUUUGAGUGGCCACGAACAAUGUUACUAGAAGGUUGACUAUGAAGAACUGAGGGAAAACCAAAGUUACAACGUCAUUCAAAGUGAAAAAAAAAAAAAGCCAAAAAAAGAAGAAGAAGAAGAGGAAAUUAGUGAUGACGCUGCAUCUCUUGCAUGCAAAUGGGGAACUACAAUUUACCUUUCCAGCAUUAAAAUCAUACUAUUACAGAACCCCAUCAAGCAACGCGAACCAACUCUCCAUCUUAAGAUUUUGCCGUGAAGAAAUUGUAUCAAAAAUUGGUUGUAGUUGAUCUAUAAAAGAAGUGUCGAUUAUGUUUAUAUAUAACAAAUCUUUUUGACCUUUCUUUGGCAUGGUUCUUGCUACUUUCUAGAAUUACCUAAAGCAAUUUCCCACUUGGAAAUAAAUUGACAAGGCUUUCAGAAAAUUGUAAUAGUAAUGGUCGCAUUGGAGGUGUUGAGGUUGAAAAUGCUCUAGAAAGGGACAACAUACCAAACUCGAGCAAGGAAAUGGAAGAGGCUCCUGUGUUGGCACCAUCAGAACCAAGCAGAAUAAGAAGAGCUGGCAAGUGUAAUUUGCGGAAAAGUUUAGCUUGGUAUAAUGCCUUCUUCACAAGUGAAAAUCUACAUUUUUUUACUUUAGUAAGUUAACUUCCCCAAUAUAAAAAUUAUAAAAAAAAAAAAAGAAAAAAGAAAAAAAGUUGACUUUCCCAUUUCGACAUUCCUUACAAAUUUCACAUCACAGUCAUUUUUAAUGUCUUUCAUGUUAUCUUGAUCCCGAUGAAUUGGAAGCUGUGAGUAAAACAUUCAAGUCCUCGACACAUGCAUUACCUGGAAUUAAGAAGAUCUUAGGAAAUCAGCUGAGUCAUCUUCUACGUUAUGCAGUGUUAUACGAGCCUCCAUUGUGGAUAUACCAUGUGCUGGUUGUGAGUCUUCUAGCAGCAAAGCUCAACAAGGGGAAGUGGAUAUACCAUGUACUGGUUUGUCUCAGGUGGAGCAUUCUUCUCAAAAUAGGAUGAAGCCCGUCAGCAAACCUUUGAGCUCUUCCAAGGGUCAUGGUCUUAGUAAGCAAGUGCUAGAAAACUCAAAGAAGGUUCUUGUUCAUCCAUGAGCAGGUGCCGCUAGAAGUGGAGAUUGGAACUCUUCUUUAAAGCCACCAAAGAUUUUACCGAGGGUGAACCCUCCCCUCAACAGCAGCACCAACUAAGAAAACUUUGGCUUCUUCCGAGUGUAUCAAAAUGAAAAAUAAUACUGCAAAGGCUUCAGGUAAGAUUUUUUUGCAUUUCGUCUGGAAAGAACUAAGAAUGAAGACCGAUGUUGACAUCUGCUUAAUGUUUUAGUAAAUGAAGUUCUCUUGAAUCCAUAUUGAGACACUUUUGUACAACAUUUUUUUUGAAGAAAUGGGCUGGGUCACCUGUUCAUCUAGACUGGAUCAUAGUUCUAAACUCAGUGACUUGACUUGAAACUAGGUCAAGUCAUCUUGAAUUGGCCAAAAAUCAACCUGAGUCACCAUAAAACUCGAUAACUAGCUUGACUUAGUUUAGACUCAGGAUGACUUGUCGAGUCGAUAUGGCUUGGCAUGACUUGAACUGAGUCGCCCACUAGGUUGAUUUGUUUUUAAAUCAGGCGAGUUUAUUCAUCAUUAAGGACCUACCCAUACAUUGAAUGUGGAUGCUUGGUUAUUUAUUCUACUAGUUCUUGUGUAACUUUUGGUUAAAUUUGACUGUUACAGGAAGUGGAAGCAACCAGAAGUGUGUUGCACUUUGCAAGAUACUUGUUUCUGGUGCUACACCCACUGUGACUCCCAGUUCUAUACCUUCACCAAAAUCUUCUUCAGGUUCUUCCUCUUCUGCCAAAACACUCCCAUCAACUCCCUCCUCGCAAAACAGAUCGGGCAGCACUAAGACCUUGAG